AACGAACGCUGGCGGCGCGCCUAAUACAUGCAAGUCGAGCGAGAAGACGUAGCAAUACGUUUGUAAAGCGGCGAACGGGUGAGGAAUACAUGGGUAACCUACCCUCGAGUGGGGAAUAACUAGCCGAAAGGUUAGCUAAUACCGCGUACGCUCCUUGGACUUCGGUUCAGGGAGGAAAGCGAUACCGUGGGUAUCGCGCUCUUGGAUGGGCUCAUGUCCUAUCAGCUUGUUGGGAGGUAACGGCUCACCAAGGCUUCGACGGGUAGCUGGUCUGAGAGGACGAUCAGCCACACUGGCACUGCGACACGGGCCAGACUCCUACGGGAGGCAGCAGUAAGGAAUAUUGCGCAAUGGGCGAAAGCCUGACGCAGCGACGCCGCGUGGGGGAUGAAGGUCUUCGGAUUGUAAACCCCUUUCGGG
rnacentral:rRNA from 1 species